rnacentral:tRNA from 1 species
GAAAUUUUAGUUAAAAAAUAACAUAAGUUUGUCAAACUUAAAUUAAUAAUAAUUAUUAUUUUUCU